rnacentral:lncRNA from 1 species
AUUUAAGCACAAUUUCCUGAUUAAUUCUAGCACAAUACACUAAGUGGAAUCAAUAAAAUAUCGACUCAUCACCGGCGGACUGCGAACCUGAUGAACGAGGAAGCGAAGGGCGAGAUCGAACGAGAUAGAAAGCGAGAGUGCGAGAAAGAAGAUGAACAGUGAAAAUCAAGAUGAACAGUGAGUGAAUGUUUUAAAAAACCUAAUCUGAUGCAUCCUUAAAACGUAGUCGUUUUCUGUUUUCGAUUUUUUUUUUCAAACUCGCGAAAUUGGAACCAAACUCGCGAUUUUAGGCGAGUUUAGCGAGUCAACAACCGAGUCUACUGAUCCUACUCUAAAAACGAGUUUGCUUACGAGUUAACUCGAAAGCAUAGUCUGAAAUCGUAAACUCGACCGAGUUAACGAGUUAACUCGCGUUUUCGAUAACCAUGCUUCCAACUAAAGUUGCUAUGCCAUUGUAGUCUCAACUAGGCUUCUUCUACACUCCUCGGACCCCACGGUGGGCGCUAAAAUGUUUCGGUUGAAAGGGUCCGAGAUCGAUCAUCCACCCUUCUUCACUCCUCCGAUCACCUUUUUGCACUCCUUCAAUCGUCCACUUCCUCAGAUGUUGUCUCCCGAUUAAAAGACUCUAAUGAUAAAGUCAUAUAUGUUCUCAAGAUCAGAAUAUUCUGACUGAACAAUAAAGUACACAGCAUAAACAUGGUGUACUCAUAUCCUACAGGCAUUCUAAGGAUGAAACUACUAUGAUACCAUUAAUGUAACAUCCCAAUAAAUAUAGCUUGAAAAGUAUCAUUUAUUUUAGGAGUAUACAUAAACAAUAAUAAAGAACAGUAGGAGAUAAGUACACUGGAGUAAAGAGAAUAUGAGAUUUCACAUAGAAUUUAAAGCUGAACACAACAUAGAAGUCUGAUAGCAUUUACAAUUUAAGGCGAACAGUCAUAUGACAAGUUCCAGACCGAAUGAUACAUUAAAGGGAUA